UUGAUCCGUCCGCCCAGGUUCAAGAGAAGGGGGCUCGGACGUACGGCACCCACCUAAAUCCGAACCUUCUGGGGGCCGGGCAGGCACAGAGGCAGCUGCCUUACGAGAAGCUCGUUUCGUGGUCACACUUUGCCCGUUACGAUUCGGAGGGUACAGAUGAGGAAGCAGCAGUGGAGGGUUCCAUGGCAGCUGAGCAAGGAGUGUGGGUCCCGGUCUGCUCUGGGCGCGGGUCUGGGCAGGGGGCGCGUAUUUGUGCUGCACGGCAGGUGCUCACUGACGUUCUUUUUGCUUGAUUCACUGGUGGCCGAGCCCCUCAAAACAGCACCCACUGGCAACGCACGUGGUCGGCAGAGCCUGCACUUGGCAGCCUGAAGUCCUGUCUUAAGCCGGACGCAUGCGGGUGCGCUCGCCCUGCGCAGCCCUGCAGGGCCCAGAGCAGUUGAGGGAUGGGUGGUCUGGCACCACUCUGGGAUCAUCGCUUCCCGAGAAGAUAGUAUUAAGGGAGCGCCCCAGGGAGGUCGGAGACGCAAAAGGACCAAGUUCAGCAAGACCCAGUACCAGGUGCUCAUCGAGGCCUUCGAGAGGGACUCAUACCCUGAUAUCACUGCCAGAGAAGAACUGGCUCGACGAACCCAGAUCCCUGAGCCCAGAAUCCAGGUGACUACAGACCGGUUGCUCCCUGACGGGAGGGCGAGGGGGGCAAGGAACCUUGUACUAAGCGCCUGUUCUAGCUCGGGCUUAACAACCCGCUUGGCGUUAAGCCUCUCGGUUCCCCUGUGAGUAGGCGUUAAUUAUGCCCUUUAGCUGGGCUGGGACAAUGAUGACGGAGGUUUGGUGACAGGUUACAGCUCUGGCAAGGGGUAGAGCCUGAACUGGUGAUCUGAGAGUUGUAUCUGCCAAACAGUUACCAUGUUAGCAAUGAAGAGAAAUCUUCAAACAUUUACUAAUUAAAAAAAAAACAUAAUAAACCCAUUACGUGUAAACCGAAACUUACUUUUCAAGAUAAGCAACCAUAUUGUCACAGCCAGAAAAUUUACUCAGAUUGCCAGAGGAGGUGGGAAGAGCAGGGGUGGGGCUCCCCUCUGCCGAGGGCUCUGAGAAACCCUCGAGAAAGUGGGGUGUGAAGUAGGCAGAGGCGGAUUACAUCUGGGUGUUGUAAAGGAAAGCGUUGUGAGCUAACAGCGAUCCCGAAAGGAUGUCAGGGAUCCUGGGGGGCCCGGGUCACGGGGUCGUCUGGGUCUCAGUGUUGGGGGCACCGGGCCCCGCCUCCAGGAAGGCUGCCGGGUGCAGCCUGGGUUUGAGGGCCGCUGUCCUGCAUGAAACCCAAGUCGUCGAGAGUGGAGUGCAGAUACGGAAGGUUGUUUGGGAAGCCCCCCCGGGUGAUUCUGCUGUGUAGGCGCCUUUCAAUCUGAGACCACCAGGGUCUCAUCCCAGACUGUGAUCAGGAUCUCUGGGAGUGAACAGGUGUGCAGAAGUUUUUAAAACUGCCAGGUGACUCCAGCAUGCCGACCCCUACCCUUUGACCCUUGCCCUCCCGUGUGCUGUGGGCCCAGCCCUCCCGGAGAGCCGACCAUCUACUGAGUCUGGGUUCGAGUUGGGCCCUGGAGUUCCGAAAUCGCCCCAGGUGGUUCGCGGGUGCAGCAGACUCAGGGUCACCCCACUGGCCUCCAGGGCCCACCACCCCCAUUUCUUACCAGCCGCUUUCGAGGUCCUUGAUGAGGGUGGUGGGACGGAUCACAGGCUGCUGCAUGAGAACGAACAAUGCUUAAGGGUUUGCUAUUUUUUUUCUAAUGUUUGUUUAUUUUGAAAGAGACAGAGCCUGACUGGGGGAGGGGCAGAGACAGAGAGACAGAAUCCCAAGCAGGCUCCGCACUGACGCGGGCCUGAUCCCACAGACCGUGACCUGAGCCGCAAUCAAGAGUCGACACUCUACGACUGAGCCACCCAGGUGCCCCAAGGGUUUGCUAAUUUUAAAAAAUUUUGACCUAACCCCAGAGAUAAUUAAACCACAGCCCAGAGGGGAGAAGGGUUACCAAAAACACCCUACAGGGGCUGAGAGAUAAGCCUUGGGGCUUCCUAUUUCUAGAAGCGAUAGAUAGCCUGAGCCGUCAGUAUCUGUCCUAGAAGCCCCCUGCUGGCCCAAACCUUACAAAGAGAACCAGGAUACAGAAAAGCUUAGUGAAAGCCCCAAGCCUGUGACGUUAGAUUUAGUGGCCUUUUAUCGGCGGGCCUGGAAACCUCACUCAGGGAGGGGCAGACAGCCCUUCAGGACUAGAUCACCUUCCCAGAACCCGUCAGCCCAAACAGCCCU
ensembl:lncRNA